GACGAACGCUGGCGGCGUGCUUAACACAUGCAAGUCGAACGGAAAGGCCCUGCUUUUGUGGGGUGCUCGAGUGGCGAACGGGUGAGUAACACGUGAGUAACCUGCCCUUGACUUUGGGAUAACUUCAGGAAACUGGGGCUAAUACCGGAUAGGAGCUCCUGCUGCAUGGUGGGGGUUGGAAAGUUUCGGCGGUUGGGGAUGGACUCGCGGCUUAUCAGCUUGUUGGUGGGGUAGUGGCUUACCAAGGCUUUGACGGGUAGCCGGCCUGAGAGGGUGACCGGCCCCCUUGGGCCUGUGAUACGGCCCAGGAUCCAUCGGGAGGCAGCGGUGGGGAAUAUUGCACAAUGGGCGGAAGCCUGAUGCAGCAACGCCGCGUGCGGGAUGACGGCCUUCGGGUUGUAAACCGCUUCCGCCUGUGACGAAGCGUGAGUGACGGUAAUGGGUAAAGAAGCACCGGCUAACUACGUG
rnacentral:rRNA from 1 species